UAACUACCCAUCAGAGGGGGAUAACACUUGGAAACAGGUGCUAAUACCGCAUAACAGUUUAUGCCGCAUGGCAUAAGAGUGAAAGGCGCUUUCGGGUGUCGCUGAUGGAUGGACCCGCGGUGCAUUAGCUAGUUGGUGAGGUAACGGCUCACCAAGGCAACGAUGCAUAGCCGACCUGAGAGGGUGAUCGGCCACAUUGGGACUGAGACACGGCCCAA
rnacentral:rRNA from 1 species